CUUCCCACGCCCUAAGAGAAACAAUACAACUCCUACAGCUGACUCUCACCUUUACAAUUUGGGACCAUCUUAGUUGAGGACCACCCUAGUUACACAAUCAAGUUGUACCUUAAUGCAUGUGUAGAUCCCGACGCUUCAUAGAGUGUCGACAGCAAGUGUGUGGCUCGGGCUCGAGCCGGAUAGUCGGCAACGUUAAUUGCGAGUCGCUAGCGGUACACGCAGAUGAGAGUGCUGGGUCAAAGUUGUAGCUGCUACGCCUUUAUCAAGAGGAAUUUGUUGAUGUGCUCUUCUAGCAGCAAUGUAUGACCUACUGAGAGUACUGAAAUUCAAAGCCCUAAUUUUUCACUCAGGGAGUAGUUAACUGGCUUCAUCACAGUCUCACCUAAGGAGAGGAGAAGAGAUGCAAAAUAUCAUUGGUCUUCUUCAUCUAGAGGCUGCUUGAUUCA
rnacentral:lncRNA from 1 species